AGAACGAACGCUGGCGGCAUGCCUAAUACAUGCAAGUCGAACGAACACUCUGACUUCGGUUGGGGUGUUAGUGGCGCACGGGUGCGUAACGCGUGGGAAUCUGCCCUUGGGUUCGGAAUAACAGUUGGAAACGACUGCUAAUACCGGAUGAUAUCGAAAGAUCAAAGAUUUAUCGCCCAGGGAUGAGCCCGCGUAGGAUUAGCUAGUUGGUGGGGUAAAGGCUCACCAAGGCGACGAUCCUUAGCUGGUCUGAGAGGAUGAUCAGCCACACUGGGACUGAGACACGGCCCAGACUCCUACGGGAGGCAGCAGUAGGGAAUAUUGGACAAUGGGCGCAAGCCUGAUCCAGCAAUGCCGCGUGAGUGAUGAAGGCCUUAGGGUUGUAAAGCUCUUUACCCGAGAUGAUAAUGACAGUAUCGGAGAAUAAGCCCCGGACUAACUCCGCGCCAGCACGCCGC
rnacentral:rRNA from 1 species